GAUGAUUGGUAACCACCUUUAUUUGAGGAUUGGUAACCACCUUGGUUAGAUGAUUCAUAACCUGAAGACUGGUAUCCCCCUGCAGGCUUGUAGCCACCACCAGAGUUGCCUGAUUGAUAACCACCUCUGCUAUUACUGGAAUAGCUUGGGUGCCAUUCCUAUUUGAGGUUUCCAACUGCGAUGUCCUUGAUGUUCGUCACCAGGUUUCAAAACGCGAGGGGGUUCCACAGCUCCACGCAGACGUGUCGCAGGGAACACAUAAUCUUCACCAUACUUCGGAUCUCGAAAACGAACAUGCACAACAGAAUUGUCACGGAGCACAGGAAGACCCAUCACGGGUGACUCCAAAGACCCACCCUGAAUCAAAUAAAAAGAGAAAGCAAUUGCAAACCAUCGGUUAUUUACUUUUGGCAUGACCAAAGCCCUUCUAAAAAUAAUAAAAACAGAUUGUAUACCUGU